AUACACCACUGACAAUGUCCACUGCUGGGUCUGCCUACUCUACUAACUGCUAGAGUCCUUAGAAGCAAUGAAAUGGAAUCAGGUUGGAUUUUCAUAUUCUCUCCUAUAGCCAUAGAACACAUGAGAAACAGAAACUCAAAGUAACAAGAAGAGAGUAACUAAAGGAAGUUCCUGCCUUCAAGUCCUUUACAAGCUGAAUCAGAACAACAGACCAGUGUACCUGUGCUGGAAGAAUAUAGACUAUACAGAAAAGAGAAUAAUAGAAAAACACUCCAGCUCUCUGAGGAGUGUGCCAGAUUACUAAAGCGAGGAGAGACUGAUGAUGGUACUGGAAUCUUUUAGACACUGAUGGCCAUAGCUCGUGACCAACAAAUAUCCCUCAUAUUUCUCCUGCAUAUAUAUCAGGCCAUGUCUCUGUGGUAUACUCCCAUGAACUAGUACGGCUUUCUCACAACAUGGAGAUCUCAGAGCAUUUGAACUGCUUACGUGGUAACUAAAGGUCCUCAUGCAGGCCUUCUAUUGGACAAGGCAAAUGGAUUUUACCCUUUCUGACUAUCUUUGGAAUUUACUUCAGCUGCUAUCUGUAGGCUAUAAAUGAGACAUGGAUCAUGUGAAUUCAAGUGGGGGGAGGGGAAGGACAUGAUUUACCUUUCUGUGAGUGGAAUGCCAAGUCAAGUUUGUGGACUGAGAGGGACUGUUUUGGUUAUCUAUGGGGAAAAAGUUCUGCCCCAAAUACUUUUAUGUUACCAAUGUUUCCAGCAGUUGAAAAUGUGUGUAAAUACACAAAAAAUUCACAGCUGCUGCCCUACAAUCAAAUAGUUUUUCAUCUGGUUACUUUCUUUACUUCCCUUGAAUUUUGUCCUGCCUGGAUUCUUCCCAUUUCUUUCUGAACCACAGGCACUCUUCUGCUUUCUUUCAUGCUUGUUUUUUUUUCAAAUUUAAUUAAAUUAAUUUAUUUUUAAAUGUUCUUUUGCUGGGCAUAAAGAUUUCCAUUAAACUUGGUUCUCAGCAUGGGUGAAAGGAGACACCAAGUAAAGAGAAUGUGUAGAUAGAAGGGGAGAAAAGAUCCGAUUAAUAAUGGAAGAAUUUAGAAAAAAAAAUAAACACAUAAGGAAAGCAGAAAGCCAGUGGCUCUGGAUGAUGUGUGCAAACACACUAAGAAGACAUUGGAAAUCAUUUAAAAGUGGAAGCAAAAGAGCACUGGAGAAGGGGGACCAUGCCAUCAAUGCAGUGUCUCCAGGCUGUUUCCUACACAGUAGGGAAUUUCAAAAUCAAGCAUGGGUUUGGGGCUCUUCGUAACUCAUCAAAAUGAUGUAAGCAGUUAUACAUAAAUGGAGGGAGUGGGGAGACAAAAUCCAUAGCACUCAUCAGAGCUGCAGAAGGGUAUGGAAGCCCCAAAUCCUUUUAAGAUACAAUGAUGAACAGCCAUCAGGGCUGGAGCUGUGGCUUAGGGGUGUGCUGUGGCAGCACAGCAAGCAUGAGGCUCUGAGUUCCAAUCCCAGUACCACACCCCCUCCACAAAAACUCCACCCCAAACAAAACAAGAAUAAACCAUCAAACUUCAAAUGGAAUAGGACUUGUUCUAAGUCACAUGCAGGCAAGAACAAGAGAGCUGAGAGAGCUGAGGUCAGUAGUUUAGGACUAUAUGUAUAUCCCCAUGAGAUUUGUUUCAUUUUUGGUCAUGUUCUUCUCCUGGUCCUUAGAAGCUGUCUUUUUCUUGCAAGUUCAUUGAAAAACAUACAUUUAUUCUCCAGUUGAUCUUACUCAUGUUUCCUCUUACCAAUAUUCAUUAUUCUUUCUACUCAACCACUAAACCACUAUCCAACUCAAUGUGCAUGCACACGUGUGUACACUUGCACAUGUAUGCACUCAGCUUUCUUUUUUCUUUUUGGUGAUUGGGACUCACAUUUUUCUUUAUCCAGACAACCACUAGAUACGAGACCUCACAUGAGUAGAGAAAGUGGAUGGCAAAAUCAUGGUGAAGCAGAAUUCAGUGUGUUCAGAAGGAAGAUCUCUGCCAGGCAAACCAAGAAAACUCCAUUGUUGUUAUUUUCACAAAGUUUUUCUGUGUGUGUUUAAUAAAAGCUUUCAGUUAAUUUUCAGGUGAAACCACUAGAUGGCGACAUUGCCUUAGGAACGCAGAAGAAGCGGCAGGCUUUAGACUGCCACUGAGCUUCCACUUAGAGCUGCAAAAUCGUGAAUUGGGGCCUCAGGAGAAACAAACUCCGGUCUGUGCCAAGCUCUUGCAAUCUUUGUGUUGCUGUGGAGUACACUCCCUCUAACUUCUUCACUAUUUGUCAGAAGUUGUCCUCAAAAUGUGUCACUCAGUGCCCCAGGGCUCAUUGCACUUAUACAAUUCUAAGGACGUUACUAAAUGUUCCAAUCCAUUUUCCUCUAAAUGCCAGAAUGGCUGGUUUCACCUUCAUUAGAAGUUUCUUGAAAUUUAAGUGCUGCUUAUUCUUUCAAGGGUUUUUUUUUUUUUCUCUUGAAAAGAAACCUUGGAUCCGUACAAAGGUAAUUUUCACAGUUUGGGGGUUUUGAAUAUAAACAAUCAGUAAACUAACUCAGAAAAAUGUGAAGGUAGCCAACCUCUUUUUUCCUGGAUGUGCAGUUGAGCUUCUCUGACUAGAAUGGGUUCUUUCAUAGCUGAAGGAUACGGGCAAGGACUUAUUUUUAUCGUGAGGAUUAUUAGAAGCAGGUGUGCAUUUACUCUGCAAAUAAAACAUUCUCUAUCAAAAUAUAGCAUACAUAAAAACAAUUUAAUGAGCUACAAACUCAUAAAUACUUUAGCAUUUCCAUCAAAUAAAGCUUCAGACUUGAGCUAUAUAGGUCGACUGACAAGUCCCAGGCUUUGUCUUAUUCCCUUUCAGUGUAUAAGAAAGCAAGAACUUGAUGUCUGACAAAGAAUGACUUGUUUUCUAGCUCAGCCAGGUGAAAAAUUGAGCUCACUUACAUUAGCCUGGGGAAAGCCUGAUAUAGCGUAGCCUACAAGUCCCUCCUUGAUGUGAAGUGAAGGUGACUGAAAGUAAAUUGGGGGACAAAGACAUUUGCCAGCUGUGCCCUCAGUACUGGCUAGUGACCCUGCUUCUGUUUAGCAUCUGCAUCCUUUGCAUCAGAAACAGAAGUUACUGUUAAAUUUCUUUCUUCCCCAC